AACGAACGCUGGCGGCAUGCCUAACACAUGCAAGUCGAACGAGGCCUUCGGGUCUAGUGGCGCACGGGUGCGUAACGCGUGGGAACCUGCCCUUAGGUUCGGAAUAACUCCCCGAAAGGGGUGCUAAUACCGGAUAAUGUCUUCGGCCCAAAGAUUUAUCGCCUUUGGAUGGGCCCGCGUUGGAUUAGCUAGUUGGUAGGGUAAAAGCCUACCAAGGCGACGAUCCAUAGCUGGUCUGAGAGGAUGAUCAGCCACACUGGGACUGAGACACGGCCCAGACUCCUACGGGAGGCAGCAGUGGGGAAUAUUGGACAAUGGGCGAAAGCCUGAUCCAGCAAUGCCGCGUGAGUGAUGAAGGCCUUAGGGUUGUAAAGCUCUUUUACCCGGGAUGAUAAUGACAGUACCGGGAGAAUAAGCUCCGGCUAACUCCGUG
rnacentral:rRNA from 1 species